rnacentral:tRNA from 1 species
GCCCUGGUGGCACAAUGGUUAAGCGUUCGGCUGCUAACCGAAAGGUCAGUGGUUCUAACCCACACGUUGGCU